rnacentral:rRNA from 1 species
UACGUAGGUGGCAAGCGUUGUCCGAAGUUACUGGGCGUAAAGCGCGCGUAGGCGGGAAAUUAAGUGAGAAGUGAAAGGCUGGGGCUUAACCCCAUGCAGUGCUCCUCAUACUGGUUUUCUUGAGGGUGGUAGAGAGAAGUGGAAUGGCUGGUGUAGCGGUGAAAUGCGUAGAUAUCAGUCGGAACACCAGUGGCGAAGGCGGCUUCUUGGGCCAUUACUGACGCUGAGGCGCGAAAGCCAGGGGAGCGAACGGG